CAGUCGCCGCGGUGAUACGUAGGGUGCGAGCGUUAAUCGGAAUUACUGGGCGUAAAGCGUGCGCAGGCGGUUGUGUAAGACAGGUGUGAAAUCCCCGGGCUUAACCUGGGAACUGCGCUUGUGACUGCACAGCUAGAGUAUGGCAGAGGGGGGUGGAAUUCCACGUGUAGCAGUGAAAUGCGUAGAGAUGUGGAGGAACACCGAUGGCGAAGGCAGCCCCCUGGGCCAAUACUGACGCUCAUGCACGAAAGCGUGGGGAGCAAACAGGAUUAGAUACCCCUGUAGUCCCUGUUUCUUAUAC
rnacentral:rRNA from 1 species